UACGUAGGGGGCAAGCGUUGUCCGGAAUCAUUGGGCGUAAAGAGCGUGUAGGCGGUCCGGUAAGUCGGCUGUGAAAGUCCAGGGCUCAACCCUGGGAUGCCGGUCGAUACUGCCGGACUAGAGUUCGGAAGAGGCGAGUGGAAUUCCCGGUGUAGCGGUGAAAUGCGCAGAUAUCGGGAGGAACACCUAUGGCGAAGGCAGCUCGCUGGGACGUUAUUGACGCUGAGACGCGAAAGCGUGGGGAGCAAACAGG
rnacentral:rRNA from 1 species